rnacentral:rRNA from 1 species
UACGUAGGUGGCAAGCGUUGUCCGGAAUUAUUGGGCGUAAAGCGCGCGCAGGCGGUCCUUUAAGUCUGAUGUGAAAGCCCACGGCUCAACCGUGGAGGGUCAUUGGAAACUGGGGGACUUGAGUGCAGAAGAGGAAAGUGGAAUUCCACGUGUAGCGGUGAAAUGCGUAGAUAUCUGGAGGAACACCGGUGGCGAAGGCGGCAUCCUGGACCAAUUCUGACACUGAGGAGCGAAAGCCAGGGGAGCAAACGGG